UGCCAGCAGCCGCGGUAAUACGUAGGGUGCGAGCGUUAAUCGGAAUUACUGGGCGUAAAGCGAGCGCAGGCGGUUUUGUAAGUCAGAUGUGAAAGCCCCGGGCUCAACCUGGGAACUGCGUUUGAAACUACAAGGCUAGAGUAUAGGAGAGGGAGGUAGAAUUCCACGUGUAGCAGUGAAAUGCGUAGAGAUGUGGAGGAAUACCAAUGGCGAAGGCAGCCUCCUGGCCUAAUACUGACGCUCAUGCUCGAAAGCGUGGGGAGCAAACAGGAUUAGAUACCCUGGUAGUCCACGCCCUAAACGAUGUCUACUAGUUGUUGGUGGAGUAAAAUCCAUUAGUAACGCAGCUAACGCGUGAAGUAGACCGCCUGGGGAGUACGGUCGCAAGAUUAAAACUCAAAGAAAUUGACGGGGGCCCGCACAAG
rnacentral:rRNA from 1 species